GGAGCGUGGGAAGACUCCAGAAUCCACUCUGGCUGGAAUCCGGUGGAUACAGCAGUGUUACAGGUACAGUACGUGAUAUUAAGGGCAGGCGGUCAUCACUGGGGGAAGACAAGAAGCAGACGUACUUCCAAGAGGGAGCUGCAGUGAGGACACAGCCUGGUCACUGAGGUCAGAGGAGGCGCUGGAAGGUUUCCCUAAUAGUUCCUGGUGAAUCAAAGCAGAACCAUAAAGGUUGCUGGACUGCAUCAUGGCCUUACCCCUGAGCAGUCAUCCUGUUAAAGGAGGAACCAGUUAGAAGCUGUUUUCAAAGUAGCUGAGCAGAUUUCACCUCAACAGACAAAGUCGAUGGCAGAAGAUGUUUGGAGAAGAACUUCAGGCCGUGUACUGACAAGGUAUUUUUUCUUGUUAUCAAAAGACAUUUGGAGUGACGGCUUCUACAACUGGUUGUGCUGAAGUAAAGCUUACAGGCUAAGAAGUCACAGUGUUGAUAUUCAGCACAAAGAGAAAAGCUCACUAGUUUGA